UGCCGGAUAGUUCAGUUGGCAGAACGACUGUCUCUGGAACAGUAGGUCCUAGGUUCGAAUCCUAGUCCGGCAG
rnacentral:tRNA from 1 species